rnacentral:rRNA from 1 species
UACGUAGGGUGCGAGCGUUAAUCGGAAUUACUGGGCGUAAAGCGUGCGCAGGCGGUUUUGUAAGCCAGAUGUGAAAUCCCCGGGCUUAACCUGGGAAUGGCAUUUGGGACUGCAAGGCUGGAGUGCGGCAGAGGGGACUGGAAUUCCUGGUGUAGCAGUGAAAUGCGUAGAGAUCAGGAGGAAUACCGAUGGCGAAGGCAGGUCCCUGGGUUGACACUGACGCUCAUGCACGAAAGCGUGGGGAGCAAACAGG